GGCCGAGCUUCAUCUUGCAACCACGCUACUGCCGGCGGCGGUGCAUAUAGACGGUGUUUACACCAUUGGUGGCCGCUGGUUGAUUGGCAUGAUUAAAGGAAUGCUAUUCUUGAUGUC